rnacentral:rRNA from 1 species
GAUGAACGCUGGCGGCGUGCCUAAUACAUGCAAGUCGAGCGAACGGACGAGAAGCUUGCUUCUCUGAUGUUAGCGGCGGACGGGUGAGUAACACGUGGAUAACCUACCUAUAAGACUGGGAUAACUUCGGGAAACCGGAGCUAAUACCGGAUAAUAUUUUGAACCGCAUGGUUCAAAAGUGAAAGACGGUCUUGCUGUCACUUAUAGAUGGAUCCGCGCUGCAUUAGCUAGUUGGUAAGGUAACGGCUUACCAAGGCAACGAUGCAUAGCCGACCUGAGAGGGUGAUCGGCCACACUGGAACUGAGACACGGUCCAGACUCCUACGGGAGGCAGCAGUAGGGAAUCUUCCGCAAUGGGCGAAAGCCUGACGGAGCAACGCCGCGUGAGUGAUGAAGGUCUUCGGAUCGUAAAACUCUGUUAUUAGGGAAGAACAUAUGUGUAAGUAACUGUGCACAUCUUGACGGUACCUAAUCAGAAAGCCACGGCUAACUACGUGCCAGCAGCCGCGGUAAUACGUANGUGGCAAGCGUUAUCCGGAAUUAUUGGGCGUAAAGCGCGCGUAGGCGGUUUUUUAAGUCUGAUGUGAAAGCCCACGGCUCAACCGUGGAGGGUCACUGGAAACUGGAAAACUUGAGUGCAGAAGAGGAAAGUGGAAUUCCAUGUGUAGCGGUGAAAUGCGCAGAGAUAUGGAGGAACACCAGUGGCGAAGGCGACUUUCUGGUCUGUAACUGACGCUGAUGUGCGAAAGCGUGGGGAUCAAACAGGAUUAGAUACCCUGGUAGUCCACGCCGUAAACGAUGAGUGCUAAGUGUUAGGGGGUUUCCGCCCCUUAGUGCUGCAGCUAACGCAUUAAGCACUCCGCCUGGGGAGUACGACCGCAAGGUUGAAACUCAAAGGAAUUGACGGGGACCCGCACAAGCGGCGGAGCAUGUGGUUUAAUUCGAAGCAACGCGAAGAACCUUACCAAAUCUUGACAUCCUUUGACAACUCUAGAGAUAGAGCCUUCCCCUUCGGGGGACAAAGUGACAGGUGGUGCAUGGUUGUCGUCAGCUCGUGUCGUGAGAUGUUGGGUUAAGUCCCGCAACGAGCGCAACCCUUAAGCUUAGUUGCCAUCAUUAAGUUGGGCACUCUAAGUUGACUGCCGGUGACAAACCGGAGGAAGGUGGGGAUGACGUCAAAUCAUCAUGCCCCUUAUGAUUUGGGCUACACACGUGCUACAAUGGACAAUACAAAGGGCAGCGAAACCGCGAGGUCAAGCAAAUCCCAUAAAGUUGUUCUCAGUUCGGAUUGUAGUCUGCAACUCGACUACAUGAAGCUGGAAUCGCUAGUAAUCGUAGAUCAGCAUGCUACGGUGAAUACGUUCCCGGGUCU